UCCUGAUUCGGACUCUGGCUUGUAGAGGCUCUAGCUGUUUACAGUCUGUUGUUCCCUGCUAACAGCGGCAGUAGCCCUCCAGCCCACUGAGAGUUCUUGCUGAAGCCCCUCAGCUGCAGCCCAGCAUCAGAUCCUGAUUUUGACUCUGGCUUGUAGAGGCUCUAGCUGUUUCCAGUCUGUGGUUCCCUGUCAACAGCGGCAGCAGCCCUCCAGCCCCUUCUCCCCUCAUCUGCAGCCCAGCAUCAGAUCCUGAUUCGGACUCUGGCUUGUAGAGGCUCUAGCUGUUUACAGUCUGUUGUUCCCUGCUAACAGCGGCAGUAGCCCUCCAGCCCACUGAGAGUUCUUGCUGAAGCCCCUCAGCUGCAGCCCAGCAUCAGAUCCUGAUUUUGACUCUGGCUUGUAGAGGCUCUAGCUGUUUCCAGUCUGUGGUUCCCUGUCAACAGCGGCAGCAGCCCUCCAGCCCCUUCUCCCCUCAUCUGCAGCCCAGCAUCAGAUCCUGAUUCGGACUCUGGCUUGUAGAGGCUCUAGCUGU